rnacentral:sRNA from 1 species
AUUAUUCAGUACAUAAACAUGAAGUUCUUCAUCCUUGGUCCCUAAGUUUUCUUUAUUGUCCCUUAUUCCACUGCACCUCCUUACCUUCUAUGCUGAUGACUUCUUUUCCCACACUUUCUAAAGGCUGGGGUGAGCCCUGGGGGGAGCCUUCUACUCCAGCCACAACUGUGGAUAAUGGUACUUCAGCAUGGGGUAAGCCCAUAGACAGUGGUCCCAGCUGGGGGGAACCCAUUGCUGCGGCAUCCAGCACAUCCACGUGGGGCUCCAGCUCUGUUGGUCCACAAGCAUUAAGCAAAUCUGGGCCAAAAUCUAUGCAAGAUGGCUGGUGUGGUGAUGAUAUGCCAUUGCCUGGAAAUCGCCCCACUGGCUGGGAAGAGGAAGAGGAUGUGGAGAUUGGAAUGUGGAAUAGUAAUUCAUCUCAAGAGCUUAACUCAUCUUUAAAUUGGCCACCAUAUUCAAAGAAAAUGUCAUCGAAGGGUCUGAGUGGCAAAAAAAGGAGAAGGGAAAGGGGAAUGAUGAAAGG